GUGGACCCCUCUUUCAGAAAAAGUUGUUUAAAAUAUGAUGUAACUCUCCUCUUUUUGAGUACAAAAUUCUAAGUUUUCAAAGGUUUUGUAUAGAAAACUAUACAAUCCUUGGUAUUUCUAUUUUCUUUUCUACAUCAGUAAAAUGACCCCUUGGGUGAGGGAGGGUUGUUCUCAACCUGAUAAUAAUAAACACAGGGCUUUGAGACAGAACAAACAGCAAGCUAUAAAGGACCCCAAAUGUAUUAGCGUACACAAUUCGAACAGGAAAACCAACGAUCUAAUUUAUAUAUCCAAACAGGAAAAUCACCAAUGAACAACAUCAACAAACGAUAACUGCUGAACGACAGGCCCCUGAAUCAAUCAGGACAGGUGCAUAAACAUGCAGCGGCUAUGGAUAGUUUUGUUUCGCCAGCAUACAAUAUAAUUGCAGUUGAAGGCAAAUCCUUCAGCAGUAAUUUGUACUUUAUUCUAACAACG
rnacentral:lncRNA from 1 species